rnacentral:rRNA from 1 species
UACGGAGGAUGCAAGCGUUAUCCGGAAUGAUUGGGCGUAAGGCGUUCGUAGGUGGCAAUGGAAGUCUGCUGUCAAAGCGUCUGGCUCAACCAGAUAAAGGCAGUGGAAACUACAUAGCUAGAGUAAGGUAGGGGUAGAGGGAAUUCCUGGUGUAGCGGUGAAAUGCGUAGAGAUCAGGAAGAACACCGGUGGCGAAAGCGCUCUGCUGGACCUUAACUGACACUGAGGGACGAAAGCUAGGGGAGCGAAUGGG